GACGAACGCUGGCGGCGUGCUUAACACAUGCAAGUCGAACGGUAAGGCCCUUCGGGGUACACGAGUGGCGAACGGGUGAGUAACACGUGGUGAUCUGCCCUGCACUUCGGGAUAAGCCUGGGAAACUGGGUCUAAUACCGGAUAGGACCAUGGACUUCACGGUUUGUGGUGGAAAGCUUUUGCGGUGUGGGAUGGGCCCGCGGCCUAUCAGCUUGUUGGUGGGGUAAUGACCUACCAAGGCGACGACGGGUAGCCGGCCUGAGAGGGUGUCCGGCCACACUGGGACUGAGAUACGGCCCAGACUCCUACGGGAGGCAGCAGUGGGGAAUAUUGCACAAUGGGCGCAAGCCUGAUGCAGCGACGCCGCGUGAGGGAUGACGGCCUUCGGG
rnacentral:rRNA from 1 species